CUUGUCCUAUGUUGCCAGCGAGUCAUGUCGGGGACUCAUAGGAGACUGCCGGGGUCAACUCGGAGGAAGGUGGGGAUGACGUCAAGUCAUCAUGCCCCUUACGUCCUGGGCUGCACACAUGCUACAAUGGCCGGUACAAUGGGCUGCGAUACCGCGAGGGGGAGCGAAUCCCAAAAAGCCGGUCUCAGUUCGGAUCGGGGUCUGCAACUCGACCCCGUGAAGUCGGAGUCGCUAGUAAUCGCAGAUCAGCAAUGCUGCUGUGAAUACGUUCCCGGGCCUUGUACACACCGCCCGUCACGUCACGAAAGUCGGUAACACCCGAAGCCGGUGGCCCAACCCUUGUGGGGGGAGCGCCGUCGAAGGUGGGACCGGCGAUUGAGACGAAGUCGUAACAAGGUAGCCGUACCGGAAGGUGCGGCUGGAUCACCUCCUUUCUAAGGAGCUUUCUGUGUCUGGCUGCCCUGUAGUGGGUGGCUGCCUGGUCCAGGACGAUGAUCAGUCGAGUGGCUGGUCUGGAUGCUCAUGGGUAGGAACGAUGACUUGUUCUGCUGGCUGCUGGUUCGGAUCCUGGCUUCCUCUGUGUGGCUUGGGGUUGGGCUCGCACGUGGUGGGUCGGUACGUAGCGCCUGUCUAGCAGGUCCUGGGGGGGUUAGGUGCCCUCGUGUGUGGCCCUGCUUUUGUUCAACGUGCCUCGGUGGCCUUCGGGUUGUCGGGGUUGUUGGGCGGGGUGGGUGUGCGGGCUGGUUGUGGUGGGAUACCGCUGUCGCCUUUUGGGUGAUGGGUUUGGUCUCACGGGCGCGGCUGGUUUCCGUUCGUAGUUUGAGAACUGCACAGUGGACGCGAGCAUCUUUAUCUUUGUGGCCAAGUUAUUAAGGGCGC
rnacentral:sRNA from 1 species